GCCUCUGUGGCCUAAUGGAUAAGGCUCCGGCCUCCUAAGCCGGGGAUUGCGGGUUCGAGUCCCGCCAGAGGUA
rfam:Daphnia magna strain Xinb3 scaffold00146, whole genome shotgun sequence.